AUUACCCCUGACUUAAUGUUAUUAUUUUUCCAGUGCAGGUAUUUGUUGACAACACAUAUAUAAGUUGAAAAACCCAACCUGAUAUGUUCGGCAUACGUGAAGGAUUUUCUAAUUUGCUGUGAACAUAAUUUUAUCGUGUAUGUAAUAAUUUAUAAUAACAGCUUUAACAUCAAAUUUAAGUAUUAAAAUGUAAAUUGCGGGAUUUUGUAUCAAAAAUGUAUUAUUGACUGAAGCACGUCAUUAUUUUCCCUCUGUGAGCCUCUGGCAGUCUGAUAGCUCUUGACUACGUCACAUAGUAACCGGUGUUAUGAUGACGUUUUUGAGGUUCCAAUUGGGGAUAAAACGUCGUAUAUACCCCGGCAGUUUCCUGAAUAUAUACUGACAUCUCUAUGUUGUUAUCCAAUCACAAACCUCGACACAUUUGUAAUCCGUAAUAUAUAUAUAUAUUCACAAACGAAUGAACGGUCAUCGUAGCGACUACCAAUGCAAGCCAGACCUCCCUCUUAGUCGACAUUUGAGAUCCCCUGGCCACACUAAGGCAGAUCUCAAUCGACUGACCAUUACUAUCAUUGACCACAACUCUGCUUGGUCUAGGGAGGAUAGACUUACUCGGGAAAGAUUUUGGAUAAGAAAAUUAACAACUUUGGCACCA
rnacentral:lncRNA from 1 species